rnacentral:rRNA from 1 species
GUACGAGUUAGAGUUUAGUGGCUCGAGGACGAACGCUGGCGGCGUGCCUAACACAUGCAAGUCGAGCGAGGAGAUUCCUUCGGGAUGAUCCUAGCGGCGGACGGGUGAGUAACACGUGGGCAACCUGCCUCAUAGAGAGGAAUAGCCUUCCGAAAGGGAGAUUAAUACCUCAUAACAUUGCAGUUUCGCAUGGAACAGCAAUUAAAGGAGUAAUCCGCUAUGAGAUGGGCCCGCGGCGCAUUAGCUAGUUGGUGAGGUAACGGCUCACCAAGGCGACGAUGCGUAGCCGACCUGAGAGGGUGAUCGGCCACAUUGGGACUGAGACACGGCCCAGACUCCUACGGGAGGCAGCAGUGGGGAAUAUUGCACAAUGGGGGAAACCCUGAUGCCAGCAACGCCGCGUGAGUGAUGACGGCCUUCGGGUUGUAAAGCUCUGUCUUCAGGGACGAUAAUGACGGUACCUGAGGAGGAAGCCACGGCUAACUACGUGCCAGCCGCGGC